AGUUUAACCUUAUAUGCCAUUGCCACCUAUACUAAUUCUUCAGGUUUUUGAAAUUGUUUUCAAGAGAAUAUGGUUUUCUUUUUUCUUUUUUUUAUUCCUCACUUGGGGAGGGGGGACUCCUUUUGUGCUUCAGAUAUAUUUUUAAGUUGUCUUCAGCAUCUGUUCUCUGUCUGCAUCUGGGCUUGUUUUUCCUCCUUUCAUACUUUUGAUCUGCACUAUCUUCUUUGAUGCUUCUUCCCCACCCACCCCAAUUGUCUAAUUUUCUUGGGUGGAGCUGGGGGAGGGGAGGCUGUUGUUUGCUUUUCCUUUCAUCCACGUCAGUCUUUUCUAUGUUUCUUUCAAAAAGCACAAGAAUGAAUUGCAUCCAGAAACAGAGAUUUGUUCUUUUGGCCUCACACACACCAUGCUGCCCUACACAUAAAAUGAAGAAAGAUAACCAUGCUGGAGAUGGAUAAGAUUGGAGCUGUAAAUGUACAGAAGCCAUCGUUGUAAAUCCAAAUGCUUCAGAAAGAAAAGCAGUUUCUGGUGCCAGAUGGAGUGGAUAAUUAACAUGCACCUGAGAUGUCCUUAUCGGUGCCAGUCUUUACCUGCAAGGCUAAUACUUUUGAAGUCAAUGACAAAAGCACCAGCCGGUGGCCACAAAUAGAAGAUCAGCAUUUUUUAAGUCUGAACUCAGACAAAGCUCCCCACUCCAUAAACUGGAAAAACCUCUGGAGAAACAACCCAGUUGCAGAAUAUGUUGAUGCUUGGAUGCAGCAGUCACACCACUUCAUAUCGAUGGGGAAAGAAAUUUUAACAACAAACUAAGUGCAAACACCUCUUGCCAUGCCAGAAACCAAUUUGGAUUUCACAGCACCUUAUCAAUAUAGUUUAAGUUAAUUCCUUUCUGAAGUCACAUUGCUAAAAGGCACAGAUCAAGUGACAAGGACUAAAUAACAAGAGAGUCUUGAAGCACCUCAAUGACUAAGGGUGGUAUCCAACAGUGAUGGUUUCCUGGAGGAAAGAAUCUAUCAGAGGAAUGGGAAGUGAACUUAGGGCAGCACACAUGGUUCUUCUCCUUCCACUUUACCAUCAGAACAGCCCUGAAGCUUCAGCUGAGAGAUGCUCAUGACUGAGUGGAGACUCGAACUUGGAUCUCCCCAGACCAUGUCUAACUCAGCAAUGGGGAACCUGUGGCCCUCCAUAUGUAGUUGGAGUUGAGCUCCCAUCAGCCAGCAUAGCCAACGGCAAGUGAUUAUGACCGCUGUACUCUAGCAACACCUGGAGAGCCACAGGUUCCCGGUCCCUGCUCUAACCAUUAUAUCA